UACGAAGGGGGCUAGCGUUGCUCGGAAUCACUGGGCGUAAAGCGCACGUAGGCGGAUCGUUAAGUCAGGGGUGAAAUCCUGGAGCUCAACUCCAGAACUGCCUUUGAUACUGGCGAUCUUGAGUUCGGGAGAGGUGAGUGGAACUGCGAGUGUAGAGGUGAAAUUCGUAGAUAUUGGGAGGAACACCAGUGGCGAAGGCGGCUCGCUGGACCGGUUCUGACGCUGAGGCGCGAAAGCGUGGGGAGCGAACAGG
rnacentral:rRNA from 1 species